GCAGAAGUACCCAAGUGGCUAUAAGGGGCUCCCCUGCUAAGGGAGUAGGCGGGUAAAACCGUGCGGGGGUUCGAAUCCCCCCUUCUGCG
rnacentral:tRNA from 1 species